UACGUAGGGGGCUAGCGUUGUCCGGAAUCAUUGGGCGUAAAGCGCGUGUAGGCGGUCCGGUAAGUCCGCUGUGAAAGUCGGGGGGCUCAACCCUCGGAUGCCGGUGGAUACUGUCGGGCUUGAGUACGGAAGAGGCGAGUGGAAAUUCCUGGUGUAGCGGUGAAAUGCGGCAGAGUAUCAAGGAGGGAACACCAAUUGCGAAGGCAGACUC
rnacentral:rRNA from 1 species